GAUGAACGCUAGCGGCAGGCUUAAUACAUGCAAGUCGAGGGGCAUCAAGGUACACGAAAGUGUAUUGUUGGCGACCGGCGGACGGGUGAGUAAUAGGUAGGUAACCUACCUCAUACUGAGGCAUAGCUGGGAGAAAUUCCAGGUAAUUCCUCAUGAGGUUAUAUGACACAUGUGAUAUAAUCAAAGGUAUCGCAAGGUACUGGUAUGAGAUGGGCUUACUGACCAUUAGCUAGUUGGUGAGAUAAGAGCUCACCAAGGCGAAGAUGGUUAGGGGUUUUGAGAGAGAGAUCCCCCACAUUGGAACUGAGAUACGGUCCAGACUCCUACGGGAGGCAGCAGUAGGGAAUAGUUGGGCAAUGGGCGGAAGCCUGACCCAGCCAUGCCGCGUGAAGGAAGACGGCCUUAGUGGGUUGUAAACUUCUUUACUAUGCGACUAACUAGAUUUACGAGAUAAUUCUAUAGAAUGUAGCAUAGACAAAAAGCAACCGGUACC
rnacentral:rRNA from 1 species